GAGAGCACGCCGCCUGACCGAAGGGGCGGGGCCUGAGGGCGGGGCCGCAGUCGCGAGGCUGAAGUUGGCAGGAGAGAGGGCGGGGCCUGAAGCCCCUCUGGGCUGCCUGGACGGAUGAAGUCCAGGUGGAAAGCCAGUCGCCGUUUCCUGGGAGCUACGACUCCAGGGACCCUCAUCCGAACUUAACCGUUGGAACAAUCACAAACCCAGAAACUUUUAGCUGAGUGUUAUUUAUAAAAAGCGCUGUUUUGACUACUGUUGGACUUGGAAAAGCUUUGCCCACGAUACUGAAGCGUAAUUAGCUGCCUACUUUUCAAAAUUAUGUGAUGACUUCAGGGGAAAAGAGAUUCACAAGAACCAGUAACAGGAAAGCUCAAAUAAGCUUGGAAAUCUUUAAACUUUCCAUAUGGAAUUUGUCUCCUGCAAUAUGAGGUUAAGCCAAUCUCCAUCUUUAACAGAUAUACAAGGAGUACCUGCUGUUCCUGCCUCUAGGCUUUGAGACUUGGGAUGGUUCAGUGACAGAGGUUCAGUGAGAAAGAUAAGACAGCCAGGGGACCUUGGUUAGCCAAAGUCAAGAAUGAGCUGUCAACAGUUUCCCAAAGGAAAACAAUGUGAAGAAAAACGCCAAAGCAAUUGGGGAAAAAAAACACUGUUUUCUCUGAAAUGAAGACUCCUCAAGAUCCUGUUGCUGGAAUGAGUAUUGGACUCUUCGGUCUACUUCUACAGUCACCAGUACAUCUGGCAUACACUAUGAUGCCCAACAGUAGGGAGAUGAAAGAAAUGUAGAUGUUGGCAUUUCUAAAAGAGAUGUUGUAUCUUUUUUCCUACUUAAUAGACUAUUAGGCUAUAAAUCUCAAUCUUGACCAGCAAA